rnacentral:tRNA from 1 species
GGGGUCGUAGCCAAAUUGGCAAGGCGCUGGUCUUGCAAACCAGAAAUUGUGGGUUCAAGUCCCACCGAUUCCACCA